AGUGAACGCUGGCGGUAGGCCUAACACAUGCAAGUCGAACGGCGGCACAGUAAGAGCUUGCUCUUACGGGUGGCGAGUGGCGGACGGGUGAGGAAUACAUCGGAAUCUACUUUUUCGUGGGGGAUAACGUAGGGAAACUUACGCUAAUACCGCAUACGACCUACGGGUGAAAGCAGGGGAUCUUCGGACCUUGCGCGAUUGAAUGAGCCGAUGUCGGAUUAGCUAGUUGGCGGGGUAAAGGCCCACCAAGGCGACGAUCCGUAGCUGGUCUGAGAGGAUGGUCGGCCACCCGGGGAAUGGGGCACGGCCCAAACCCCUACGGGGGGCAGCAGUAGGGGAUUUUUGGACAUGGGCCCAAGUCUGACCCCGCCACUCCGGGGGGGGGAAGAAGGGCUUCGGGUUUUAAAACCCUUUUGGUGGGGAAAAAAGAGGGGCAGUUUAUCACCCGCUUUUACUGACGGUACCAAACAAAAAAGCCCCGGCUAACUCCGUG
rnacentral:rRNA from 1 species